UGCCUAAUACAUGCAAGUCGAACGCGUUGGCCCAACUGAUUGAACGUGCUUGCACGGACUUGACGUUGGUUUACCAGCGAGUGGCGGACGGGUGAGUAACACGUAGGUAACCUGCCCCAAAGCGGGGGAUAACAUUUGGAAACAGAUGCUAAUACCGCAUAACAAUUUGAAUCGCAUGAUUCAAAUUUAAAAGAUGGUUUCGGCUAUCACUUUGGGAUGGACCUGCGGCGCAUUAGCUUGUUGGUAGGGUAACGGCCUACCAAGGCUGUGAUGCGUAGCCGAGUUGAGAGACUGAUCGGCCACAAUGGAACUGAGACACGGUCCAUACUCCUACGGGAGGCAGCAGUAGGGAAUCUUCCACAAUGGGCGCAAGCCUGAUGGAGCAACACCGCGUGAGUGAAGAAGGGUUUCGGCUCGUAAAGCUCUGUUGUUAGAGAAGAACGUGCGUGAGAGCAACUGUUCACGCAGUGACGGUAUCUAACCAGAAAGUCACGGCUAACUACGUGCCAGCAGCCGCGGUAAUACGUAGGUGGCAAGCGUUAUCCGGAUUUAUUGGGCGUAAAGCGAGCGCAGGCGGUUUGAUAAGUCUGAUGUGAA
rnacentral:rRNA from 2 species